CAAGACCUGCGAAACAUUAAAACGCAUCUUCUGAAUGCAACUCAGACACUUUAAUUAAGCUAAGGCCUC
rnacentral:tRNA from 1 species